rnacentral:rRNA from 1 species
AGUCAACAUAACCAAAGGACGUGGAUAAACUCGGGAAACUGAGGCUAAACCGCGAUAGACCAAGAUACCUGGAAUGGUUUUUGAUUAAAAUCUAUAUGGCCUUUGGAUUGGACUGCGACCGAUCAGGCUGUUGGUGAGGUAAUGGCCCACCAAACCUGUAACCGGUACGGGCUCUGAGAGGAGGAGCCCGGAGAUGGGUACUGAGACAAGGACCCAGGCCCUAUGGGGCGCAGCAGGCGCGAAACCUCUGCAAUAGGCGAAAGCCUGACAGGGUUAUUCUGAGUGACUUUCGCUAAGAAAGUCUUUUGACACCUCUAAAAAUGGUGUAGAAUAAGGGGUGGGCAAGUCUGGUGUCAGCCGCCGCGGUAAUACCAGCACCCCGAGUGGUCGGGACGAUUAUUGGGCCUAAAGCAUCCGUAGCCGGUUUUACAAGUCCUCCGUUAAAUCCAACUGCUUAACAGAUGGGCCGCGGAGGAUACUAUAAGACUAGGAGGCAGGAGAGGCAAGCGGUACUCAGUGGGUAGGGGUAAAAUCCGUUGAUCCAUUGAAGACCACCAGUGGCGAAGGCGGCUUGCCAGAAUGCGCUCGACGGUGAGGGAUGAAAGCUGGGGGAGCAAACCGGAUUAGAUACCCGGGUAGUCCCAGCUGUAAACGAUGCAGACUCGGUGAUGGAC